rnacentral:rRNA from 1 species
CACCGCGGUUAUACGGGUUAGCCCAAGUUGACAGCCUACGGCGUAAAGCGUGGUUAGGGUUUCUUGAAUACUAAAGCCGAAUUAUCCUUCAGCUGUUAUACGCUCGCAGGAAAGAGAAGUUCGACUACGAAAGUGGCUUUACUAAAAUAUACCUGAACCCACGAAAGUUUUGAUA